GACGAACGCUGGCGGCGUGCUUAACACAUGCCAGUCGAACGCUGAAGCUUGGUGCUUGCACUGGGUGGAUGAGUGGCGCACGGGUGAGUAAUACGUGAGUAACCUGCCCUUGACUCUGGGAUAAGCCUGGGAAACUGGGUCUAAUACUGGAUACGACAUGCCACUGCAUGGUGGUGUGUGGAAAGGGUUUUACUGGUUUUGGAUGGGCUCACGGCCUAUCAGCUUGUUGGUGGGGUAAUGGCCUACCAAGGCGACGACGGGUAGCCGGCCUGAGAGGGUGACCGGCCACACUGGGACUGAGACACGGCCCAGACUCCUACGGGAGGCAGCAGUGGGGAAUAUUGCACAAUGGGCGGAAGCCUGAUGCAGCGACGCCGCGUGAGGGAUGACGGCCUUCGGGUUGUAAACCUCUUUCAGCACGGAAGAAGCGAGAGUGACGGUACGUGCAGAAGAAGCGCCGGCUAACUACGUG
rnacentral:rRNA from 1 species